rnacentral:rRNA from 1 species
GAUGAACGCUAGCUACAGGCUUAACACAUGCAAGUCGAGGGGAAACGACAUCGAAAGCUUGCUUUUGAUGGGCGUCGACCGGCGCACGGGUGAGUAACGCGUAUCCAACCUGCCCAUCACUUGGGGAUAACCUUGCGAAAGUAAGACUAAUACCCAAUGAUAUCUCUAGAAGACAUCUGAAAGAGAUUAAAGAUUUAUCGGUGAUGGAUGGGGAUGCGUCUGAUUAGCUUGUUGGCGGGGUAACGGCCCACCAAGGCAACGAUCAGUAGGGGUUCUGAGAGGAAGGUCCCCCACAUUGGAACUGAGACACGGUCCAAACUCCUACGGGAGGCAGCAGUGAGGAAUAUUGGUCAAUGGGCGAGAGCCUGAACCAGCCAAGUAGCGUGCAGGAAGACGGCCCUAUGGGUUGUAAACUGCUUUUAUAAGGGAAUAAAGUGAGAGUCGUGACUCUUUUUGUAGGUACCUUAUGAAUAAGGACCGGCUAAUUCCGUG